rnacentral:rRNA from 1 species
CAGCAGCCGCGGUAAUACGUAGGUGGCAAGCGUUGUCCGGAAUUAUUGGGCGUAAAGGGCUCGCUGGCGGUUUCUUAAGUCUGAUGUGAAAGCCCCCGGCUCAACCGGGGAGGGUCAUUGGAAACUGGGAAACUUGAGUGCAGAAGAGGAGAGUGGAAUUCCACGUGUAGCGGUGAAAUGCGUAGAGAUGUGGAGGAACACCAGUGGCGAAGGCGACUCUCUGGUCUGUAACUGACGCUGAGGAGCGAAAGCGUGGGGAGCGAACAGGAUUAGAUACCCGCGUAGUUCCUGUCUCUUAUAC